rfam:Cavia porcellus supercont2_106 genomic scaffold, whole genome shotgun sequence.
UCCUCCUUAGCACAGUAGGCAGCACAUCAGUCUCAUAACCUGAAUGUUCUGAGUUCGAGCUUCAGAGGGGGCA